GGUUGAGUAGUGCAGUGGUUAGCACAUCAGCGGGUCUCACCCCGGUCCAUACUUGGCAAGAUGGACUGCACGCUGGCAACGUGAGAAUGCGGGAACCCCAAGCUGAAAGCCUAGGUUCAAAUCCUAGCUCGGCCA